AAUUCCCUGAUUUCUUUACCAGUUGCCAGUAUAUAAUUUACGGUUUGGGGUAUGAUCCGGUUACUGUUGAUUAUAAGGUAGUGAGGUUUAUUCAGUUUUAUGGUCAAGAUGUUUGGGACUCUUUUGACUCGGAAGUUAAGGUCUAUAGCAUGAAGUCUAACUCGUGGCGAAGGAUCCAGGAUUUCCCAUAUUAUCUUCGUUACAAGCGAUGUUAUGGUGUGCUUGUUGGGAGCGCUUUACAUUGGGUUGUGAGUCGAAACCCUGAGUCAGAUACUGCUAAUUUGAUUGCUGCGUUUGAUCUCACCACUGAGGAGUACCUGUUAGUGCCGCAACCUGAAUUUUCUAGCAAGGAUUUUCAUAUGAAUAUAGGGGAGUUGGAAGGGUGUCUGUGCAUACUCUGCAAUUAUAUUCAAAAACGAGUUGAUGUGUGGGUGAUGAAGGAUUAUGGAGUGAAGGAGUCGUGGACGAAACUGUUUUCUGUUGCACAACCAGCAGUGAUUAGAUCUUUUGAAUUUGUAUUCCCUUAGCUUAUUCAAAGGGUGGUUGUGACGUCCUAUUGGUUCAAGACAAUAAGAAGCUUGUUUGGUAUGAUGUCGAACGUAAAAAAAUUAAGAACAUCAAGGCUCCUGGUAUACCAAAGUAUUUUGAAUCAUUUGUCUGUGUGGAAAGCCUUGUUCCACUCAGUGGGGGAGGUGAAACUUGUGGGAAGAGUCAUGACAUUAAAGGGAAGAAGAAGAAGAAUACACCAAAGAAGAAUGAGAAGAAGAGAGAUGAUUUCCUGUCGAAGGGGUUCAAACUGGUGCUUAAGGCAAGUGAAGGGAACUGGAAAUGAAGCGAGAAGUUAUAUUGGUAAGUAAAGUAUCUGCUUUGUGUGUCGUACACUGCUAUCAUCAUAUAUCCAAGUCAUCUUACCUACAUUGGGCGUGGCUUUCUUUCUGUUUCUAUUUUUUGUAUUUGUUAUUUUUGUUUGCUAUUGGUGGGAGGGCCUUGGCUAUAUUGGCUGGUGCAUCUAUAUCACAAGCUAUUGCAGUCUGAUUUUUUGAGCUGUAGGUAUAUAAGCAGAACCAAUUUGAAGAUGGAGUGGUGGGACAAUAUUGAAUUAUUGAUGCAUCUUGAACUUCUUUCUUCCUUACUCCUUAGUACUAACCUUGAGUGUAUCCUAUGCCCUUUCAUUCUUUUAUUGAUAAUAACAUCACUAAUUGUAUCCAUGUCAGGUUAAGUUGGAACAUUGGAGAGAUGUUACGAGUAGAUAAUCGAGCAUGUGACAUGUAACUGAGGAUUAGAGUUUCAAGGGAAAGAAAGAAAACUAAUGAAGGUUUCUCCGAAGAUCACAUUUAUGUUUCUAUCCUUGUAUUGUCGUGUAAGUAUUUGCUUAGAAGUACAGUGGACAAUUGUAGAAGUAACCUAUCCCUUUUUCAUCUGGUGAAAACGAUGAGCGAUGAAUACUUUGCCUAAUUUUACUUUG